UAUGCACGCUGGCGGCGUGCCUAAUACAUGCAAGUCAAGCGAACAGACGAGGAGCUUGCUCCUCUGACGUUAGCGGCGGACGGGUGAGUAACACGUGGAUAACCUACCUAUAAGACUGGGAUAACUUCGGGAAACCGGAGCUAAUACCGGAUAACAUGUUGAACCGCAUGGUUCAACAGUGAAAGACGGUCUUGCUGUCACUUAUAGAUUGAUCCGCGCCGCAUUAGCUAGUUGGUAAGGUAACGGCUUACCAAGGCAACGAUGCGUAGCCGACCUGAGAGGGUGAUAGGCCACACUGGAACUGAGACACGGUCCAGACUCCUACGGGAGGCAGCAGUAGGGAAUCUUCCGCAAUGGGCGAAAGCCUGACGUAGCAACGCCGCGUGAGUGAAGAAGGUCUUCGGCUCGUAAAACUCUGUUAUUAUGGAAGAACAAAUGUGUAAGUAACUAUGCACGUAUUGACGGUACCUAAUCAGAAAGCCACGGCUAACUACGUG
rnacentral:rRNA from 1 species